GGGAAAAGAGAAGAAGGAGAGAAAAAAGACGAAAGAAGAAAGAAGAAUAAGAAGAAAAGAAGAGAAGAAGCGAAAAGAAGAGAAGAAGAUUGGGGAAAAGAUGGACUUAAUUGGAAGGCUGCUGUAGAAUCCAGCAAAGAGUUUUGGAAAAUAUGGCUCAAAGAAAGAAGAGAAGGACUCACAGAGGAAUCCAACUUGAUGGCAUGGAGAGUUUUGGUACUUCUUCUUAGGGGGACGAGAGUCCUGCAGACUGGUACACUAGACGGAUAAUCAAUAGGAUUCGGGAUCACAUAUGCAACUCCAUAUGGGGUACAUGGGUGAGUUUUGCAUGUUAUUUAUUUUUUCCAUUGUCUUUGUAUUUUCCAGUUUAUUCAUCAUCAUUUUCUUAUUUUAGUUUUAGAGGUUUAAUGAAGGGGUACCACCUACUUUGGCUAGAUGUGGUCAUCCAAAUUUGGCUCGGGAUUGGUACAAAGUGCUUCCUUACAUAUUUAAGGGGCUUGUUGAUUCAUCUUACCUGAGAUGAUUGGUCUCAUUGGAGACUAGAAAGUUUAGUCCGACAUUGGCGGGAGCCCUGAUUGAGAGGUGGUGGCCGAGUACUCACUCAUUCCAUUUCCUGACAGGCGAGAUUACCAUCACGCCCUUGUGUUUUUAUGCCUUGACAGGCAUACCAUUUGGGGGGAGGCCCUUGACCCUUCCCGAGGCCAUGAAAACCAGAGAGUUCACUGACUUGAUGGGUAUAGAUAUCGAGGAUGAUCAAAAACAUAUCCGUGUAGGUGAGAUCAGUGCUCGUUGGUGGAGGAUCGGCUUGGGGGUGAAUCCUAGUAACAUUACGUAGGUGACCCAUUCUUUCCUCUUAUUCACUAUGGGCCAGUGUCUCUUUAGUGACCUCUGAGGGGGGGUAGAUAUCCAUAUGGCUGCCAUUUUUUGGAACAUUCGGGAUCUGGAUACUUGGGACUAGGGUGAAGCCACUUAUGCCUACCUAUUGCUGACCUUCGACCUUCUAGCAUAUGGGGACCGGGGCCUCAAGGGUGCAGGCUACAUUCUCCAGGUAGCUUCUUGCCCCUGCACACAUUUCUUUUCAUUUGGUUGCACUUCCUUACUUUAAUUUUUCAAUUCAGCCCUGGUGUUAUAAACAUUUGGAGAUUAUGGCUCCCAUACUGAGGGCUCCUCAGCAUCUUUUUUCCCCGCAGCUAUGAGAUGGGGAAACAGUCAAGUACUCCAGGGUCACUGCCAUCCUCCAGGGGGCACCGCUCGUUCUCUUCUGAAUGGACUUAUAGAGGUUACUUGAAGGCUGUUUCAGCAUCUUAGGUUUUCGGACCUUGAUGAAGUUGCUCGGGCCAAGUACCUAAUAGAGAAUCAUGUUCUGUUUAGGGGAGUCUAGGGCCAUGCUUGGUGUUUGGGAGAGCGGGUCACACCCUAGUGGUCUGAUUUUGACCUGCGUUUCCCUCCUUGUCUUCCUCCACCUACCAUGCACCAUCCGGAGCAUAUUCCUACGGAUCAAAUUGAGGGAUUGGCAGAAGGAAUGUGGGAUGACUCCUUUCUAGACCAGGAUAGGCAUUACAAGACCUUCAUUGAGGAAGAGACAGUCUGUACUCCCUUUGGUCCCAAUGGUCUAGCGGGGAGGAUACGUUAUGUGGACCCUUCUAUUGUUCAGUCACAAGUUGAUGCUACUGGUCCAUCCUGAAUUGGAACUUCUACUAUUAUGGGUGGAUCUCUCUGGAUGGCCACCAUCCCUUUUCAUGGCUUCCCGGGUUGGUCAUAUCCCAGUGCAGCCCAUCUUGGUAUCCCUCGGCUCCUAGAGCAUAGACUGGACAAAGAUGCUUCUCUCAGGCUGCCUAUUCCAUAUGACUGUGUGAGUAUCCAACCACCUCUCAUUGGCUUUUGACUGACAUGGUCCUCAUCAGGUGUCUCCGAAGGCCUACAUCGAGCAAUAGGAGAAUGCCCAGCAACAUGCGUAGAUUCAAGAUCUCACCCAGAGGUUGGCGAACUUGAGAUUGGCACCUAUUAGCAAUUUGAUGUUCCAUAAAGAUGACACCGAGUAUGGUUUAGACAAGGAUUUUGACUCUUAGGGAUCUGUUAUUAUAGUUCUUGCAAACACAAACACAUGCAUAUCUUUUUUCUUUUUCUUUUUUCCCUCCUAAUGUUUAUUCCUUCUUUUUGUAUUACCAGAUUUGGCCUUGUAUGA